GACGAACCGUGCGAACGUUGUUCGGAAUCACUGGGCUUAAAGGGCGCGUAGGCGGCUUGCCAAGUCAGUGGUGAAAUCCCACAGCUUAAUUGUGGAAGUGCCUUUGAUACUGGCGAGCUCGAGGGAGGUAGGGGUAUGUGGAACUUCUGGUGGAGCGGUGAAAUGCGUUGAUAUCAGAAGGAACGCCGGUGGCGAAAGCGACGUACUGGACCUCUUCUGACGCUGAGGCGCGAAAGCUAGGGGAGCAAACGGG
rnacentral:rRNA from 1 species